GAAAGUAAAGAAGGGCGCAUGGCGGAUGCCUUGGCUCUCGGAGGCGAUGAAGGACGUGAUAAGCUGCGAUAAGCUUUGGGGAGGUGCAAAUGACCUUUGAUCCAGAGAUUUCCGAAUGGGACAACCCAAUAUCUUGAAGAGGUAUUAUCCAACGUUGUUGGAGGCUAACGCAGGGAACUGAAACAUCUUAGUACCUGCAGGAAAAGAAAAUAAACAAUGAUUCCCCCAGUAGUGGCGAGCGAACGGGGAACAGCCCAAACCAUCCAUGUUACGGCAUGGGUGGGGUUGUAGGACUACGCCGUUGCAUGAAGACAUCAGAGAAGAACUUUCUGGAAAGAAAGACCAUAGAGCAUGACAGUUGCGUAUUCGAAUGUUGUCGAAGCAUAGUAGUAUCCUGAGUAGCGCGGAGCACGAGGAAUUCUGCGUGAAUCUGCCGGGACCAUCCGGUAAGGCUAAAUACUCCCGAGAGACCGAUAGCGAACCAGUACCGUGAGGGAAAGGUGAAAAGCACUUCGAACAGAAGAGUGAAAUAGUUCCUGAAACCGUGCGCCUACAAGCGGUCGGAGCUCGUUAAUGAGUGACGGCGUGCCUUUUGCAUAAUGAACCUACGAGUUGCCUUUGCCGGCAAGGUUAAGUGUGACGACACACGUAUCCGAAGCGAAAGCGAGUCUGAACAGGGCGUAUAGUCGGCAGUGGCAGACGCGAAACCAAGUGAUCUACCCUUGGCCAGGUUGAAGGCUGGGUAACACCAGCUGGAGGACCGCACCAAUAAGCGUUGAAAAGCUUCUGGAUGAGCUGAGGGUAGGGGUGAAAGGCUAAUCAAACUUGGAGAUAGCUCGUACUCCCCGAAAUGCAUUUAGGUGCAGCCUUGCGGGUUACUGAUGUGAGGUAGAGCGACUGAUAAGAUGCGAGGGCUUCACCGCCUAUCAAGUCUUGACAAACUCCGAAUGCGCAUCAGUUCUACCGCAGGAGUGAGGGCAUGGGUGCUAAGGUCCGUGCCCGAGAGGAGAAGAAUCCGGACCACCUGCUAAGGUCCCGAAAUGACAGCUAAGUUAAACUAACGAAGUCUGACUGCUAAGACAGCUAGGAUGUUGGCUUGGAAGCAGCCAUUCAUUUAAAGAGUGCGUAACAGCUCACUAGUCGAGGAGUCGGGCGUGGAUAAUAAUCGGGUAUCAAGUUGUCUACCGAAGCAGUGGGAUCAUUUAUAUGAUCGGUAGGGGAGCAUUCCAGUCGGCGUCGAAGGCGUACCGUGAGGUAUUCUGGAGCGUCUGGAAAAGCAAAUGUAGGUAUAAGUAACGAUAAAGGGGGCGGGAAACCCCCUCGCCGAAAGACUAAGGUUUCCUGAUCAACGCUAAUCGGAUCAGGGUCAGUCGGGUCCUAAGGCUCAGCCGAACGGCGAUGCCGAUGGCAGAAACGGUUAAUAUUCCGUUACUACCUUCAGGAGUGACGUGGAGACGCAGUAGUGACAGUGCCGCCAUCUGACGGAAUAGAUGGUUGAAGGGUGUAGGAGUCGAUCAUGGCAGGCAAAUCCACCAUGAGAUCCGAACCUGACAGUAUGCCGCGUCCUUCGGGACAAGGCAAUAGUGCGCGUAAGCAUGCUGCCGAGAAAAUCCGCUAAACUUAAUCCUGCAGGUACCCGUACCGCAAACGGACACACGUAGUCGGGAUGAAUAUUCUAAGGCGCUUGAGUGAUUCACGGUUAAGGAACUAGGCAAACUGACCCUGUAACUUCGGGAUAAAGGGUCCCUACCCUUUUAUGGGAGGGCGCAGAGAAUCGGUCCAGGCAACUGUUUAACAAAAACACAGGGCUGUGCCAAAUCGAAAGAUCCAGUAUACAGCCUGACACCUGCCCGGUGCUGGAAGGUUAAGAGGAGAUGUCAUCGAUAAGAGAAGCGUUGAAUUGAAGCCCCAGUAAACGGCGGCCGUAACUAUAACGGUCCUAAGGUAGCGAAAUUCCUUGUCGGGUAAGUUCCGACCUGCACGAAUGGUGUAAUGAUCUGGACGCUGUCUCAACCGUGAGCUCAGUGAAAUUGUAGUAUCGGUGAAGAUGCCGAUUACCCGCGAUGGGACGAAAAGACCCCGUGAACCUUUACUAUAGCUUAUCAUUGAAUCUGGGCACGUGAUGUGUAGGAUAGGUCGGAGGCUUUGAAGCAGGUACGCCAGUAUUUGUGGAGCCGCUGUUGAAAUACGACCCUUUAUUUGUUUGGAUUCUAACCCGUGGAUACGGGGACAUUGAUUGGUGGGUAGUUUGACUGGGGUGGUCGCCUCCAAAAGCGUAACGGAGGCUUCUAAAGGUGCCCUCCGGCCGAUUGGUAACCGGCCUUAGAGUGUAAUGGCAUAAGGGCGCUUGACUGGGAGACUGACAAGUCGAUCAGGUAGGAAACUAGAGCAUAGUGAUCCGGUGUUUCCGUAUGGAAGGGACAUCGCUCAAAGGAUAAAAGGUACUCCGGGGAUAACAGGCUGAUCCCUCCCAAGAGCUCAUAUCGACGGAGUGGUUUGGCACCUCGAUGUCGGCUCGUCACAUCCUGGGGCUGGAGAAGGUCCCAAGGGUUGGGCUGUUCGCCCAUUAAAGUGGCACGCGAGCUGGGUUCAGAACGUCGUGAGACAGUUCGGUCUCUAUCUAUCGUGGGCGUAUGAAAUUUGCGUGGCUCUGACACUAGUACGAGAGGACCGUGUUGGACUGACCGCUGGUUUACCAGUUGUGCCGCCAGGUGCAUUGCUGGGUAUCUAAGUCGGGAUUGGAUAAGUGCUGAAAGCAUCUAAGUACGAAGCCAGCCACAAGAUUAGAUUUCUUAGGGUCGUCAAAGACGAUGACGUUGAUAGGAUGCAGGUGUAAAGGUGGUAACAUCAAAGCCGAGCAUUACUAAUUGCCCGUUCACUUUCUUUC
rnacentral:rRNA from 1 species